CUAAGCAUGAAGCCCCCCUCAAGAUGAGAUUUCCCAACUUCGGUUAUAAGAUCCCUCAAAGAUGAUGAGGUUAAUAGGUUCGAGGUGGAAGCGUGGUGACACGUGGAGCUGACGAAUACUAAUCGAUUGAAGACUUAAUCAAUUU
rnacentral:rRNA from 1 species